UGGGGAAUAUUGCACAAUGGGGGAAACCCUGAUGCAGCAACGCCGCGUGAAGGAUGACGGUUUUCGGAUUGUAAACUUCUUUUCUUAGUGACGAAGACAGUGACGGUAGCUAAGGAAUAAGCAUCGGCUAACUACGUGCCAGCAGCCGCGGUAAUACGUAGGAUGCAAGCGUUAUCCGGAUUUACUGGGUGUAAAGGGAGCGCAGGCGGGACUGCAAGUUGGAUGUGAAAUACCGUGGCUUAACCACGGAACUGCAUCCAAAACUGUAGUUCUUGAGUGAAGUAGAGGCAAGCGGAAUUCCGAGUGUAGCGGUGAAAUGCGUAGAUAUUCGGAGGAACACCAGUGGCGAAGGCGGCUUGCUGGGCUUUAACUGACGCUGAGGCUCGAAAGUGUGGGGAGCAAACAGGAUUAGAUACCCUGGUAGUCCACACUGUAAACGAUGAUAGCUAGGUGUGGGGGGUCUGACCCCUUCCGUGCCGGAGUUAACGCAAUAAGCUAUCCACCUGGGGAGUACGACCGCAAGGUUGAAACUCAAAGGAAUUGACGGGGGCCCGCACAAGCAGUGGAUUAUGUGGUUUAAUUCGAAGCAACGCGAAGAACCUUACCUGAUCUUGACAUCCCGAUGACCGCUUCGUAAUGGAAGCUUUUCUUCGGAACAUCGGUGACAGGUGGUGCAUGGUUGUCGUCAGCUCGUGUCGUGAGAUGUUGGGUUAAGUCCCGCAACGAGCGCAACCCUUAUCUUCAGUAGCCAGCAUUUAGGAUGGGCACUCUGGAGAGACUGCCAGGGAUAACCUGGAGGAAGGUGGGGAUGACGUCAAAUCAUCAUGCCCCUUAUGACCAGGGCUACACACGUGCUACAAUGGCGUAAACAAAGGGAAGCAGAGCCGCGAGGCCGAGCAAAUCUCAAAAAUAACGUCUCAGUUCGGAUUGUAGUCUGCAACUCGACUACAUGAAGCUGGAAUCGCUAGUAAUCGUGGAUCAGCAUGCCACGGUGAAUACGUUCCC
rnacentral:rRNA from 1 species